UCAAUGCAGUUUCCUUAUAAAUAUAUGCACUCAAGCUUUAUAUUCAUUCUACCAUGCCAUAGGCAAUUAAAACAAAAACUUCUCAAAAUUACUUUCAAAAUGGCAAAAGCUUCGUUGUUACUUCCUUGCUUGCUUUUCUUACUUAUGGUAGUCUCUGGAUCUGGGGAAUCUGGCAUGGUUGAGAGAAGUGAUUCAUGUGUGAGGGAUGGAGAUUGCCAAUAUUUGUUUUGUCCCCAAUUUCCAAAGCCCUGCAGAAAGGAAUGCAUUGAUGGAGGUUGCGGUUGCAAUUGCCAUCCACCAAUAUUGAAACAAGUCUGAUCUUUACAAUACAUACAAUUAUAUAUUUUAUAUAUAUGAAAAAGAAAGUUUAGUUGAGGAUCCUAUCGUUUAAAACAAGAUGUAAAAAUUCCAUUAUAUUUGGGAUUUUGAUUAUAAUAAAAUCUUCCUCAAUGAUAUUAAAUCAGA